GAUGAACGCUGGCGGCGUGCCUAAUACAUGCAAGUCGAACGCAGUGGGGACGGGUGAGUAACACGUUGGUAAUCUCUCAUCAGGGGGGAUAACACUUGGAAACAGGUGCUAAACCGCUACCGAUGGAUGGACUCGCGGUGCAUUAGCCAGUUGGGGAGGGAACGGCUCACCAAGGCCACGAUGCAUAGCCGACCUGAGAGGGUGAUCGGCCACACUGGAACUGAGACACGGCCCAGACUCCUACGGGAGGCAGCAGUAGGGAAUCUUCGGCAAUGGGCGAAAGUCUGACCGAGCAACGCCGCGUGAGUGAAGAAGGUUUUCGGAUCGUAAAACUCUGUUAUUAGAGAAGCGGUAUCUAACCAGAAAGCCACGGCUAACUACGUGCCAGCAGCCGCGGUAAUAC
rnacentral:rRNA from 1 species